rnacentral:rRNA from 1 species
CACGGGGGGAGCGAACGUUGUUCGGAAUCACUGGGCGUAAAGGGCGUGUAGGCGGUUCGGUAAGUGGAAUGUGAAAUCCCCCGGCUUACCCGGGGAACUGCAUCCCAUACUGCUGGACUUGAGUGCGGGAGAGGAUGGAGGAAUUCCUGGUGUAGCGGUGAAAUGCGUAGAUAUCGGGAGGAACACCUGUGGCGAAAGCGGCGCACUGGACCACAACUGACGCUGAGGCGCGAAAGCUAGGGGAGCAAACAGG